AAAAAAAAACAGAAAAAAAUGAAUAUCAAAUAUUGCAGUGCCGCCAUUUUCACUGUGUAAACUAUAGAGCACAUGGACCAGAGAGUUUCCUCAUUAGAAGAGUGUCUAACUGGUUUAUCUCAGAGCGCUGAACUCAAAUUACAUUAAAGGACUACUCGGAUAACAAGCAGCAAUGAAACUCUCUGAGAGAGCUUCAGGCUUCAGACAGGAAAGAAAACUCACAGCUGAUAGUUGUGCUGCAGCCAUUAUAAGGCAGAGGAGCAGCCGACUGCCCCUUUUUAAAUCUAACAACGUUUCAUGGAGCAAGAGUCUGGAGUUUCAAACGUGUCACAGACAUCACAGGAUGGCAACAGAAAACCAGAGCACAUCUCCCUUCAGGAGGUUUGUGUUUGGCUCUUCUGAUAGGAACACCCAUCCUGGAUACUCCAAUUCCUUCAUUUCCUCCUCAGUUUUCCUCUCACUCCAUUAGUUCCUUCACAUCCCUGGUAUUCUAUUCCAGGCUCCCUUUUCUCUUCCUACUUACUGAGGUCCAAGCAUGAAGUAAGAAUGACUUCAAGUCAAACUUGUAGAUAUUUUAUGGGCCGAGGCUCACGUGGGCUCAUGAGUCAGAAGCCAAGCUAAACAACAACAAACUUGAAGUUUAGCACUUCAGAAUAACGUUUCCCACCCACACUGGUAUAAAAGCUCAACUGUCAGUCAAACUUGUGCUGUGUUGAUGUGAUGUUCACUUCACAGUAAUGAUGUGAAGGGCACAGAGAGCAGGACCAAAGAGGGAACGGAAAUCUGGGAGAGAGCAGCGAGUUCCUCUGACGCCGCUAACAGGAAACACUGAGCCGUGAUCCCGAUGAAGCAGAACAACGGAUGAACCAUGACUGGAAGAAAAGGCUACCGAGUUGUAAUAAGCAUUAUUAUAAUGUCAAAAAUCUAAAUGCAUCUUUAUUCAGUUUAGUGAAAUACAAUAACGUUGACCUAGAGGGAAAUUACAGUUUACAGAAACAUAAAACACUGAAGCUCAGCAGACAUCAGCUAUAUGCCCACUGUUACAGCUGAUAAAGCUGAAAGUGAUAAAAGCAAAGGGGACACGGGACAAACACCCAUCAUGUUAUGAGCGUUGAUGUUUGUGCAACUUCCCUUUGGACACACGUGUGUUUUAACUACCACAAACACAAAAAAAACAGCUAAUCUCAGCAUAAUCAGGCAAACUGUUAAUGAGCUUUGUGUGCUUCAUGUUCUGAAAUAAAACAGAAUCAGUAGUAACAGGCAGCCAUCCUAAACCGAGGCCUUGUAGUAACUCUGAUGUGUAGAAGGCCAACUUUGUUCAGGUGAGGGAAGCUCGGUGCUCCCGACAUCACACAGUAUCAGUGCAGGACGGGAGGAAGCAAAGACAAGAGCGUUUUCCAGAAUGGUGCGCUCUGAUUGGUGACCGUACACGAGUCUUUGCUGCCUCAGUCGACAUGGCGACUACAACACGUCACAGUAAGUUUGAGCGCAGCAAGGAUUAACGUGAUGCGACUCGCACCAUUGCUGUCGCCUGGAAACUUUUCUCUUAACUACAAACAGACCCAUGAUUCAUUUCAGCAACGAGUGCCGGCAUUCAAGACGAUCGAGAAACGAAGGAAGCAGAACAAACGCUUGUUCGUCCGAACUUCCACAUGCGUCCAUCCCAACACACAACUACAUGUACCCACACUGAUAAAGUGACAGCUGAACACCAGUCUACAAGAAUAACAUUUACCAAAUGAGAGGCUGCAGCUGCCACUGGCUCUGACAAAAUGAACGGCUUCAUUUUAAUCACCUUUAGUUCUCCAAAUGAGAGAAUUAGGCUACUUAACAAAAAGGCUCGUCACAUUAGACUCAGUUAUAAAACGUCGCUCUGUUACGAUCCCCGGCAACAGCAGAGCUUUCUGUAGCCUCACACAGAGCUUGUGGUCAGGUUCAGCAGCUCACAGGGAAAAACAACAGACAAAUAAAUAAACUCAACUACACAAAAUUACAGCUUCAUUAAGGCUUCCACAAGGAAUACCAAUAUCCAUGCUAGACUGGAAAACAUGCAUCCACAAUGCAUAUUACACAACACAGGCCAGCUCCUUUCUGUAUGGAGUUUGAAUGUGACUUUCGAGCAGUCCAAAGACAUGCGGUCAGCAGGGUUACGUUAACUUUUACAUUGCCCAAAGGUGAGAGUGCAAAUGGCCGUCUGUUUGUGUCAGCCCUGCCAGAGACGGGCCACCUGUUCAGGUGUGCCCGCCUCUCUGGGACAGGCUCCACUCCCCCACAACCCUGAACUGGAUAAGCUUAAGAAAAUGGAUAAAGCAGUCAAAGCAUCUAACAAAUAUCUAUGAAGCCCUGAAAUCUACACAUGAGUCUUGAUCUUAAGUGCUGAACUUUUAUCUGCACUGAAACCACACUUACAACAAACCUGACACAGGUUUUUAAACUGUUUUUGUGACUUUGCUGGAGAGUGAACACCUGUGUGGUGUAUGCAGGACAAAUCUUUAAUGCAAUCUAUAAGAUGAACAGAAAUGCACACUGCUGAAGCUCAGAAACAGCUUGUACCUAACCUUUGAGUGGGUGACGUCAGGUGUGGACGGAUUAUGAAAAACAGAAUAACAAAUGUUUUGACCACAGACCUGAUCACUUGAUUCUGAACAAAAAGAUGAACUCCAUCGCUUUUAGGUAUUACCUGCGAGCUGAAGGUUACCUCAACGUUACAGGUUAAUGAGACCAGAGUAACGGGCCAUACACAGCCCUACCUCACAGCACCAGAAUAUGAAACCUUGAUGUGAUUCUGCACAUGUUUGUAUUUGGAUGGUGGUUUCAGAAUAUUUACAUUUUCAAUUUGUAAUAAUGAGCAAUGAAAACUUAAAGGCUGGUUCCAACAUUUGUAUUGGGUUUUUUAGUGAGUAAUAAAAACAAACAUCUGCCCUGUCAGGUUUGUGUGAAGCCUGAGCAAACACAAAGAACAUCCUCCUCUGCCAGCUGACCACAGUAUGGAGGCUUACUAAGAACUUCUGCGUGCACUUCCUGGGAGGUGAUUUAAAAACAAUACUACUGGCCUCAUCUUAGCCAUCAUGGUCUCAGCCUGCACCAGGCUCCCUUACACUGCUGAGCCAAUCAGUGUAUGACAGUAUAUUACCAUCCCUGCUCUUUGUUCACCUGCUGUUAUAGCAGACCAUAUCUGAAAUGCAUCUAUCCUGAUUAUCAGAUAUGUGUGUAUCAAUUGGCUCACCGUAUUAAAACCUACUGAGUGCCUGUCGUGCAGCUGUAAACAAACAAAAAGACAUUACUCCGUUCAUUUGAACCAACUGUUAGCAGACAGAAAUGACUUCUUCAUGAGGUCUGUAGGAGAAACACAGCAUAUCUAAAUGCAUCGCCAUGGCCUCGUCUCACCACCCACACUCCACAGUUCUUACUCAUUUCUGCUGUCAACGUUUUACAGCUACAGACAGAAAGCUUUAGAGAGGCUGACCUGAGAAGCUCUGCUAACGGUUAGCUGACUGUAGCACGUCUCAGGACGGGGAGAAGCCACUGUGUAGUCUGAUAACUAAACACCUGCAUUUAUUACACGACGUUAGCUGCUAGCCAGAGCUGGGAAUUAUUAUGGUGUUACUGUUCGUCAACUCUCAAUCAAGCUAGGUAGCGCAGGAAGUUAGAUUUAGGCCACAUUAGUUUGUGUGUGGUUGGCCCAUAGACUGCAGCUUGAGAAUGUCAGCUUCAUUGAAACAAAUUUAAAGUGGCUAACUGCAGACAGUGCUACAGUAAGCGGAGCAAAGCCAUAUAAAAUGACUCCCAAGGUAAUCAGACGACACUGAAUACUUAGAGGAUUCGGCUAGCGUAGCUAAGCACUGCCUGUCAGAAGCUAACGCUGGCUAGCAUGAUAAGCAGCCAGCUAAAUAGCCAAUGUUGGCUAACGCCGAAUUUGUGCUCGUACACAAACACGGUUAGCUCGUUUACAGACAGAGCUCACCUGAAAAGGCUCGCCAGUGAACCUGAACGCAAUUUGCGUGGAUGUAGACGAGAGCUACGCAAUAAACGAAGGGAACCAGCGCAGGGCCCUUUGAAGAAUACCCACAGCAACGCUUCUUGUGCGUGUCUGCGCCUGACUCUUUGGGCUGGCCUAUUCUCUGAACAAUCAGAAGGUUCAAGCACUCAGCGCAGGGAAACUGUAGAUGUGAUUGGGAAGGUCUCUUGGACGCUUUCCCUUCUCCAACACUUUCAAGCUUGACUGAAAUUUGCAACUGCCCGCAUGAACACGCCAAACGCCUUCUGGAGACACGGUUUCUAAUCAAAUGAGACAAAAGGUUGAGCUAGUUGGCCAUGAUGACGAAAGAUGACUUCACACAUAAGAACACAACUGUCAAGCAUGCUGUUAGCAUCGUACCCUGAGGCUGUACCGUUACACUUCACAAAGUGGAUGGAUUAAUGAAUGUGAAGGAUCACCUCCAAAGGCUCCAACUUUUCAUCAAAUCAACAAUUACACCUUUGGCACAGUUAUGUGAUCUAACACGGUAACGACCUCCAACACACAUCAGAGCUGGUUCUGGAAUAGAUAAUGCUAACAUUUAGCAAAGCCCCAACCCUGUUGAAGCUUAUGGAUUAUGCUUGAAUGUGGGUGCAUCCAGGUUCAUUUCACCAAUCCUGCCAAGAACAGUGCUCAAACAUCCAGCCAGAAUUAUACCAGGAGCUCGCUGAUGGCUACCAAAGCAUUUGGCUGAGGUGCAACAUGCUAAGGACAUUUAACCAUAUAUUACUGUGGCUGUAUCCAUAUGAGCCUGUAUAGAAAAU